ensembl:snoRNA SNORA62 Small nucleolar RNA SNORA62/SNORA6 family
UCUGCACAUUGUUAGAGCUUGGAGUUGAGGCUCUGGCCGAUGAACUCACAAGUGUAGGUAGUGUGCUACACGAGGGGCAAGUCUUUCGCUAACACCACAAGGGUCUCUGGCCCAGUGAGUGGAGUUUGAUAGUAAUUCUUGCUACAAGU